rnacentral:rRNA from 1 species
AGUGAACGCUGGCGGUAGGCCUAACACAUGCAAGUCGAACGGCAGCACAGUAAGAGCUUGCUCUUACGGGUUGCGAGUGGCGGACGGGUGAGGAAUACAUCGGAAUCUACUUUUUCGUGGGGGAUAACGUAGGGAAACUUACGCUAAUACCGCAUACGACCUUCGGGUGAAAGCAGGGGAUCUUCUGACCUUGCGCGAUUGAAUGAGCCGAUGUCGGAUUAGCUAGUUGGCGGGGUAAAGGCCCACCAAGGCGACGAUCCGUAGCUGGUCUGAGAGGAUGAUCAGCCACACUGGAACUGAGACACGGUCCAGACUCCUACGGGAGGCAGCAGUGGGGAAUAUUGGACAAUGGGCGCAAGCCUGAUCCAGCCAUACCGCGUGGGCGAAGAGGGCCUUCGGGUUGUAAAGCCCUUUUGUUGGGAAAGAAAAGCAGCAGGUUAAUACCCCGCUGUUCUGACGGUACCCAAAGAAUAAGCACCGGCUAACUUCGUG